rnacentral:rRNA from 1 species
AUACGGAGGGUGCAAGCGUUACUCGGAAUCACUGGGCGUAAAGCGCACGUAGGCGGAUUGGAAAGUUGGGGGUGAAAUCCCAGGGCUCAACCCUGGAACUGCCUCCAAAACUAACAGUCUAGAGUUCGAGAGAGGUGAGUGGAAUUCCAAGUGUAGAGGUGAAAUUCGUAGAUAUUUGGAGGAACACCAGUGGCGAAGGCGGCUCACUGGCUCGAUACUGACGCUGAGGUGCGAAAGCGUGGGGAGCAAACAGGAUUAGAUACCCUAGUAGUCC